GACGUAGGAGGCGAGCGUUGUCCGGAUUUACUGGGCGUAAAGCGUGCGCAGGCGGUUCGCUAAGACCGAUGUGAAAUCCCCGGGCUUAACCUGGGAACUGCAUUGGUGACUGGCGGGCUAGAGUAUGGCAGAGGGGGGUAGAAUUCCACGUGUAGCAGUGAAAUGCGUAGAGAUGUGGAGGAAUACCGAUGGCGAAGGCAGCCCCCUGGGCCAAUACUGACGCUCAUGCACGAAAGCGUGGGGAGCAAACAGG
rnacentral:rRNA from 1 species